UCUGCCGCUAUGCAAAAGAUUGCCACCACC
rnacentral:piRNA from 1 species